rnacentral:lncRNA from 1 species
GCAUGCAGUUGUUUCAUCACUCUUUCACUGAGGAUCAGAGGAAAGGAAAGAUGGAUGAGGAAAACACACCAGAGGCCUUUGGAACAUUAGUAGAGGACUUCUUCAGUGUAAAAAUACCUACUGAAACGCAUUUCACUGAACACCUGCUGGCAGAGAGGUUAGGAUCCAAUCUAAGGUGCUGUGUAUGGAAAGAGAAAUAAACAGACUUGAUGAAGUUUACCAGCAGCUCUCCUCUGAACUCUACAGGGCAACACACAUACGCAGCUCACCGGAGAAGAAAGAGCCCAGGUUUGACAAACCGCUUCAGGAGCAGCAGGUGAUGCUGGAGCUGCAGAAUUGUACGGUGGAUCAGAGACUGAAGGCGAUGAGAGACAGAUUUUCUAAACUGAGCUCAAGCCAGCAAGCGAGUCCUAAUGAAAGCACACCUGCUCACGGCACAGUCCUGGCUCAGGAAGACAGCCAGACUCCCAGCAAAUGCAAACCAGACAGGGGAGGAGCAGAGAAACAGACACCUGCUGCAGGACAGUCCAGCAACAAGAAGAAGCAGAGCAAGCAUAUGGACAAAGAUGAGGAAAAGGGUGUGACUGCGUGAGGAAUAAUGUUUGAAAAUGGUGAUUAUUCUAAAAAUAAUCUGUUUCUUGUCUUUACACCGUUUUAUUCUUACAGAUCUUACAAAUUACAAUCAUUAUUUUAUCCAUUCAUAAUGACUGUGAAACUUGUGUGGCACAGUCACAGCCAGUCAGAAGAUAUUUAAUGUUUAAUGUACAGUUAUGAUGAGCAGGGCAAGACGAAAUAGAAACAGAAACCAAAAUGUCCUUUCAGUUGUCACUUGUAGAUCUCAUUGCUAUUUAUGACAAAACUCACAUGGAGGAGAUGGAUUUAACAUUUAAC